rnacentral:tRNA from 1 species
GUUACUGUAGCUCAGUGGUAGAGCACUUGUCUAGCAUGCAAGAGGCACUGGAUUUAAUCCUCAGCACA